rnacentral:lncRNA from 1 species
AUCACAUAGCAUGCCCAGCAAGCGAAUCUUCGUUGUUAGGUGUUAUUCUCCCUAAAGCUCUCUUUGGUUGAUAAUGUGUGGCCAGUUGACUCAUCCUUGUCUGGCUGAUGAUCAUGAUCCCAGGCUGGGUUGUUUCUCUCUCUGAAAUGAUGGUUUCUACAAGUAAUAAAAGGUAACAUGGUCUCUGUGCUACUGCGCAGCCUUAGAAGAAAGCAACAAGACUGCGGGACACCUGCCGAGGUCAAGGAAGCCUCCGUGUUCUUCCAAGCCUUACCAAAAUGGGACUAAUCCUUGGCUAGAGAGACAGAACCCUAUCAGCCCUGAGACAACAUCUGUUGAUCUAGCCCAGAGGGUCCACACAUCUGUACCUAAGUUCUUCGGAGAUCUACAUGUCUGCUGGCCAUAGGGCUCCAAUAUUGCAGUCCAGACACUUGGAGUUCUUUUCAUGUGAGGUCCAACUCUGCCCCAAAUCUCUCUCCCUGAGAUUCCAGUCGGAAUCCAAAGUCUUGUAUGCUCCCAGAUAGAGAAUUGCCAUGUGUCGAGAACUACCUCAUCUUUAUCUUGAUUCCCAAUAACCUCUGCAUUAGUUAAACUACAACAUAUAAGAAGCAGAGCAACCUUUUAUGAAGGCCAUGAAUUCAAGAGCAUAAAGAUCGGAACAAGUUGGAGUACUCUGAUAGUAACUUUAAAGACACAGCACAAAUUAAUUAGGGUCACAUUUAAUGUGCUUUUGAAAAAUCAAUCCAGAGAUAUAUUUUGCUAUACAAUUUUGUUGUUAGUGGAAAUAUCCUUGAAGAAAACACCUGAUAUUUAAGCUGUUAGAAUUUGAGAGUUUUCUUCAUGAACUUUGCAGCUUCGGUUUAAUUUUUGGAGUUCUACAGAAAUGUUGACAUCUGCAGACAAUCUUCCACACAGACAGGCUGAAAAGCAGCCUUUACAUGUCCCAUUGGCUCAGCAAGGAAACGUGUUAGAGAAUACAUUCCCCAUAAACAGGAAAAGCACAGGAUGAAAACGCUGUGCCCAAGAUUCUGGGCAUCUUCUCGUUUUCCUUCCUACAACUCAGUGCUUACCUUCGGUUAGCUCCGUACAUUAACUAUGGAGGGUUAGUCAAAAGUCGGCCCUAUAGGCAAGAAAAAACAAAAGCCAAAGCCGCCUUUCAGGGGCUGCAUGUGGAGGAGGAGAGUGCGUGUGAAUGUGUGCUUGAAGAAGUUAUAACAGGUCAAAGGUCUGUGUGGUGUACCAGUGAAGUAAAGACAGCAAGCUGCCCAGGGUCUGCUCUCCCUCCCUACUCACUGACAGAGUGCUUGCUCUUACCCUGGCACACCACCACUCCAAAUAAAGACUGCAUUCUCCACACGCCCUCAAUUAAGCGUCAAGCAAUCAGACUGAGGCAAGGAGCUGUUUUUCUCUGGUCAUUUGGUCCCACUGCCUCCCGAAUGAAUACUGCUAUCAUGCUAGAACUUCAAUGGCUACCUUUGACCAUUUAAGUAGGAAUCACCUGGCUCUUCUAUAGGCAAUAAAAUAAGCUGCUACUUUC